rnacentral:tRNA from 1 species
UGCUUAUUUAUUUUAAUUAAAAAUUUUGAUUUGUGAUGUCAAAGAUCUUUUUGAGGAUAGGCUA